GAUGAAGAACGCAGCGAAAUGCGAUAAGUAAUGCGAAUUGCAGAAUUCAGUGAGUCAUCGAAUCUUUGAACGCACAUUGCGCCCGCUGGAACUCCGGCGGGCACGCCUGUCCGAGCGUCAUUUCAACCCUCAGGCCCCCCUUCGCGGGCGGGCCUGGUGUUGGGGCCCGGCCGCUACCCUGCGGCCGUCCCCUAAAUUCAGUGGCGGCCUCGCCGUGAUCCCUUGCGUAGUAAUGCACCUCGCACCGGAGAGCGCCGUGGCCACGCCGUAAAACCCCCAAUUUUCAAUGGUUGACCUCGGAUCAGGUGGGAAUACCCGCUGAACUUAAGCAUAUCAAUAAGCGGAGGA
rnacentral:misc_RNA from 1 species